GCGUGGUAGCAUGCUAUAGAGUCCAAGGAAUUUGCCAAAUCCGUGUGAGAAGAUUUGCCUCUCACAUGUGAGAGAACUUUUUGAGAAAAAAAAUUCCUGACCCCGUCCCCCUGCCACCACCCGAGUGAGGCAGACUGACAGAGCACAUUGGCUUGCUGUGGAGACAAGAUCAGGGAAAGCGCCUCUGAAAAGAAAGCAUUUUGGAAGUCCUGAAGGUGGAGAAGAGAUUUAGAGGAAGAGUGAUAAAUCAGAAGUCUUCGUCCAAGAAUUAGCUUUGCACCAUCUACAGACCUAAGCAGCUGCAGGUA
rnacentral:lncRNA from 1 species